rnacentral:lncRNA from 1 species
AUGGGGCUGCUGGAGGAUUCAGUGGGAACUCAUGUGCCACCUAGCACAGAGGCCUUGGCUUUGAGCAGAGGCCUGGCCUUGACCUCACACUUAUUCACACCCAGCCCUGCCUGGAGCCACACUCCAGCCAGGCCUGGAGCCUGGGGAAGAAUCUGCUUACUGGGGGACCCUGUGGAACUGGACAGAGAGAAAGAGGGGCCGGCUGGCAGUGACGGUGGGAUGAGGAAGGGGCUCUCCCAGGAUGGAAGAAUGGAGGGAACUCAUGGCCGAGGAUUUGCCAACCAUGUGGGAAGCCUUCAAGGGCAGAAGACACAGUGGUGGAGCAGGAAAUGCUCUGAUCUCAGAACAGGGACGGGGAGGAUCUCCCCGCAGGGCCCAGCUGUGUCUCUGGGGCUUUCACCACUCCAGAACCUCCACUGCCCAAGCCAGCCUCCAGGCAGACAGAAGCUGCCGCCUCUCCUGGGACAGGCAGGGUGUCAGCGGGAGAAACUCCAGCCCCAUGACUCCAGCCCCCUCACCAUUUACACUGCCCUGCCCAGCAGCUUUGGCCCCUUCCCAGGCAGAUGGAGUGGGCUGGGCAGGAGGAGCACCCACCCCUCACCUCCACACCUUUCAGGCCCAUGCCCAUCCUGUCCACACCAAACAACCGUGGAUUUGGUGAGGGGACCAAAAGAGCCUCCAUCUAACUCAUUUUCAGGAAAGGCUCAAAGCCAUCAUCCCCAGGCCCCAGAGAGCUCCAGGCCAGAAGCCCUCUGGGAGGCGGUCCUUAAGGCCAUUGGGAUCCACCUGCCAUCCCCAGAGACCGUGAAGAGGAGGGAGAACUGGGGCCCUGGGAAUAGACCCUUGAGCCGCAGCAUGGCAGGUCUCCUGGUACCACUUUGCCCAGAAGUUCACCAAGCCAAACAUUGCCCAGGCGUGGGCCAGUUGUCAUGGGGACUUGGCUUAACUGUCUUGGGGGAAAAAGCAGGAAAAACCCAUUCAGCAGGCCAUGGGGUGAGUUCUAGAGUUUGCACUCUAGAGGCAUAA